AAUGAAGCAGCCUCUUAGCUGCCAGAUCAUAUUCUCGAAAAUCAUCUCCAUCAUCGAGUCUCUUGGUGACUUAUCACUCAUUCUUCUCUCUUUCUCCCAACCAUAAUUGCAAAAGGUCCGAAGGAUGCUUGCCUUAUCUCCACUAUCGUAUCAUCUUUUCGUAUCCUCGCCUGGUAUGAAAUUAAGAAUCCCUUUGAAUAAACAUCUUUAUUUGAUCGGGUGGCGGUUAUCACGCCAUGCAACAAGCCUAUCAAUCAAAUGGCUAAGAUCCACAUUCGUUGUUCCUCUUCCAACACCGCCAUCCUUUAAAGCUCCGCCACGUCCUUACCAGAACCCAUCAGCCUCUUCACAGCCGCAGCUAUCGCCGUUGCCGAAAACACCAUCUUCUUCUCAUCCUUCACUCUUAAACCCUUCCCAUGCCAAAAUCGCCAUCUUCACCACCUCACAAAUCCACUUCUCAAUCACAAACUACUCCAAAUGCAAUGACCAAGUGAUCACCGGCACACCUCCGACAACAAUCCAAGGCCUUAUUAGCAAUUGGCUUGAUUGGUGAAGUGACGAUUUUGUUGGUGAAGCCUCAGGCUUACAUGAACUAUAAUGGAGAAUCAAUGUGCCUAAGAGAAAUUAUCUUCUCCACAUGAAAAGCAAGGAAUAGGAUGUGGCUAGAUGAGAGAUGAAGCUAGUCCACUAUCCUAAAAGGUUUGAAGCCUUCAUGUGGAUUGUUUUUUCCGAACUCAUUACAAUGAAUCAAUCAGAGGUUGACAUUAUCAAAAUGACACAUGUACAUACUAGAACUGCCUAUAGUGUUAAUGCAAAGGCUCCAACACCUUCCCACCAAAAAGAUUUGCCAAAGCAAUAAGAAUAAAGUAAAAAGAGAAAGGGAAGCUUUCUAUAAGGACCAUUGUUUCUCAUUCAAAAGUCCCCAAUAAAGGACUUGCCAAUGUCUCGUUCUGCAAGUCUCAAAUAGAGGAGAAGGAAUGAUGAGUU